CGGCAUUACCUCACUCAUUUUGCACUCAAUUCAUUUGGCUCGAUUUUCACCGCCGAUCGAGGCUGAAAGCGUUUCAGUGUUUUCUUCUUCGUGGAAUUCCUGAAAAUCGUUUUAUUCUUAAGAAUUACAGAGCUAAAAUUAAGGUUAGGGUUGGGGCUACGAUUAGGGUUGAUUUCGUCAUCGUCCAAUGGAAGCUAUGGGAGGGUGUUAGAACCCUUGCAAGAGCUCGAUCUCGUCCUCGUCAGUCCACAGCCGCUGAAACAGCUGUCGCGAGUCAUCCAGCAGCGACGGCGGCUUUUUCUCCUCGAUUAGCUCCAGGCGACACCUCCACCGUCAGAUCUGUAUCCACCACAAUGGUGUACUGCAGUCACUGUGCCAAAAUCCAUUUCCUUAGGUAUCAGUGACUGAUGAUAAUUGUCAAGUUUAUAUUCCUACAUUUUCUUGUCAACUGGGUGUAUAUAUUGAAGGAUCAGUUUCACCUCCUCUUUCUGGCGUCCAUAUCAGAGUUUUUGCUGCUGGAGAUAGCAGCAUUACUACACUUAAAAGUGGUGAAUUGGUUCUUGAAACGACCACUGGUAUUGAUGGUUCCUUUGUGGCAGGUCCUCUGUACGAUGAUAUUGGUUACAAUGUUGAGGCUUCAAAGUCUGGAUAUCAUUUAAAACAAGUUGCGCCUCAUUCUUUUACUUGUCAGAAGCUUAGUCAAAUUUCAGUACACAUACAUCACAAAGAUGAUUCUAAAGAGCCCAUUCCUUCUGUUCUGUUGUCUUUGAGUGGUGACAAUGGUUAUAGAAACAACUCAGUAUCAGGAGCUGGUAGGACAUUCCUGUUUGACAAUUUGUUUCCUGGAAUGUUUUAUUU